rnacentral:rRNA from 1 species
GAGGCGAGCUACCAGCAGUGAGCGGUACAGGGGUAGCUUGCUACCCGCUGACGAGCGGCGGACGGGUGAGUAAUGCAUAGGAAACUGCCCAGUAGUGGGGGAUAGCCCGGGGAAACCCGGAUUAAUACCGCAUACGUCCUUCGGGAGAAAGCAGGGGAUCUUCGGACCUUGCGCUAUUGGAUGUGCCUAUGUCGGAUUAGCUGGUUGGUGAGGUAAUGGCUCACCAAGGCGACGAUCCGUAGCUGGUCUGAGAGGAUGAUCAGCCACAUCGGGACUGAGACACGGCCCGAACUCCUACGGGAGGCAGCAGUGGGGAAUAUUGGACAAUGGGGGCAACCCUGAUCCAGCCAUGCCGCGUGUGUGAAGAAGGCUUUCGGGUUGUAAAGCACUUUCAGUGAGGAGGAAAAGUUAGUCCUUAAUACGGGCUAGCCUUGACGUUACUCACAGAAGAAGCACCGGCUAACUCCGUGCCAGCAGCCGCGGUAAUACGGAGGGUGCAAGCGUUAAUCGGAAUUACUGGGCGUAAAGCGCGCGUAGGUGGUUUGAUAAGCGAGAUGUGAAAGCCCCGGGCUUAACCUGGGAACGGCAUUUCGAACUGUCAGGCUAGAGUGUGGUAGAGGGUAGUGGAAUUUCCUGUGUAGCGGUGAAAUGCGUAGAUAUAGGAAGGAACACCAGUGGCGAAGGCGGCUACCUGGACCAACACUGACACUGAGGUGCGAAAGCGUGGGGAGCAAACAGGAUUAGAUACCCCUGGUAGUCA